GUACAGAGGGUUUCGAGCUCUUUGGCGCAGGUUCGUUUCCUGUCUUUCUAGAA
rnacentral:tRNA from 1 species